UCACACAAGGAAAGUUUAUUGAAAAAUAAAGUUCUCCCUAGUUUUCUCUACAACAGUGGAAAACAAAGCAGUGCUCUCUAUGCCAGUACAGUACAUUUGGACAGCAACACCUUAUUUGCAGUAUCCUGUAUGACUUAACCCCGUAAGUACACAGUAGAAAAUAGCUGGACCAGGAUUUGUUUGAAGACACAGACACAAAAUGGCUAUUAACAAUGUCAAGAUUGUAACUAACUCCUGUAGAUGGACAUAACCAUCUCCUUUGGCAUCAACAAUUACGCUAUUAACACUUGGGCAGGUUAGCGAGCAGAAUGCUCUGUGUUCACUCAUCUCGGCCCAGGGGGAUGAGGGGCCAUCCUGAGAUCCCGUCCUGCUGCCCAGGUCACUGCAAUGCUGUGUGUGCCCGAUACCCGCUCCACUCCACAGACACUGUCCCUGACCACCAAAUAAGCAGACUUCCCCAAGGUGACACAAAAUCUGGAGGAGAGACAGAGGCUCUGAAGGUGAAUUCCAAUCACUGCAUCCAUACAAUUAUAAGACUGCUGGACAGCGGAAGAGCAACCAAAGGAAUUUGGAAAAGACAUUGAACUCCAAAAACUUUCCCCAAUCUAUCUAGAGUUGUGUCAACAUAGGGCAAGAGAUAAAACUUUAAAUCCACUAGGGCAGUAUGGGAGGCUAAAUCCCCAAUAAGACAACAAACUGACACUUAAGUGAUUUGGGAAAGCAUCAUGGAACCACGAGCAGCCUGUGGGAGCUGUUCUGCCAGAGGCCCAAAUUCCUGCUCCAGGAUCUCAGCUGGUUCCCCUGGGGAGGUGGGUUUUCUUUGGGACCAGGAUAUGGGAUUAACUUUUUUUUUUUUUUCUUCUUUCUUUUGUGACUUGCUACCUCCCCAGACCAUUUUAUUUUCUGACAGGAUUCUGCUACAUUGCCUAGGCUGGGCUUCAACUUGUGAUCCUCCUGCUUCAGCCUCCCAGAGUGCUGGGAUUACAGGCAUGUGCCCACACCCCUGUUUUUUGGAAUUAACCUUUAAUUGGUAGAAACAUGAGAGCUAACCAGCCUGUUAGAGCCCACCCUGGCCAGCAGAGUGCCACGAAGGGACUUCCUAGGGGAAUGUUUAAAUCAAUUGGUCAUUUCUUUUUCCUUAAGGGACACAGAAAAGUCUCUCUCCACUGCAAAGGAAUAAAUUAACUUUAAUUCUUGGGGUGCAGUCUGUCAAAGGUCUUUUAAUUUCAAGCUCAGAAAGUUCAUCAAAGAAAAGCCCUGGAAUGUUCCAGAAGAUAUCAGUGGGGUGAGGGUCAGUAAGUGGCCACACGUCACCUUCACACUUUUCGUCUCCAGUCACUUAACGCUUGCAGCCUUUUUUCACUGGGGGCUGAUGUCUAACAAAUUUUCAAAGGACUCAGUGCAUCCAAGAAUACAGUAAAAUUUCAACUAGGAGGGUAGGUGCAGAACUUGAGCACUCUAAACCAGUAAUUCCUACAACAUUCAUCAACUUGGGAUAAUAUUUCCAUGUAGG
rnacentral:lncRNA from 1 species